rnacentral:rRNA from 1 species
UGGGGAAUAUUGGACAAUGGGCGCAAGCCUGAUCCAGCCAUGCCGCGUGAGUGAUGAAGGCCUUAGGGUUGUAAAGCUCUUUCACCGGGGAAGAUAAUGACGGUACCCGGAGAAGAAGCCCCGGCUAACUCCGUGCCAGCAGCCGCGGUAAUACGGAGGGGGCUAGCGUUGUUCGGAUUUACUGGGCGUAAAGCGCGCGUAGGCGGCUUGCCAAGUUGGGGGUGAAAGCCCAGGGCUCAACCCUGGAACUGCCCUCAAAACUGGCUCGCUUGAGACCGGGAGAGGUGAGUGGAAUUCCCAGUGUAGAGGUGAAAUUCGUAGAUAUUGGGAAGAACACCAGUGGCGAAGGCGGCUCACUGGACCGGUACUGACGCUGAGGCGCGAAAGCGUGGGGAGCAAACAGGAUUAGAUACCCCCGUAGUCC